UCAAGCUACAAAGAGCGCAGAGAGAAUGCCUUGGCAUUAGGAGCCGAUGAAGGACGUGGUAAGCAACGAUAUGCUACGGGGAGUCGCAAGCAGACAUCGAUCCGUAGAAUUCCGAAUGGAGGAAUCCGGCAGUGGUUAUGCACUGUCAUCAUAUACUGAAUCCAUAGGUAUAUGAGGGGAACCGCCUGAACUGAAACAUCUAAGUAGGGCGAGGAAGAGAAAUCAACCGAGAUUUUCCUAGUAGUGGCGAGCGAACGGGAAAGAGGCCAAACCAAAGGUAGCAAUAUCUUUGGGGUUCGGACUGCAAUGUGUAUCUGACGAGUUAGGAGAAGUGCAUGGGAAGGCACACCAAAGGAAGUGAAAGUCUUGUAUCCGAAAACAGAUCAGAGCUAGCAGUAUCCAGAGUACCGCGGGACACGUGAAACCCCGUGGGAAGAUAGGGGGACCACCCUCUAAGCCUAAAUACUACCUAAUGACCGAUAGCGAAAAGUACUGUGAAGGAAAGGUGAAAAGAACCCCGGGAGGGGAGUGAAAUAGAACCUGAAACUCUGUGCUUACAAGCAGAUAGAGCACGUCAAAGUGUGAUAUCGUACCUAUUGUAGAAUGGUCCGGCGAGUAUACGUAUGUAGCAAGGUUAAGAACUUCAGGUUCGGAGCCGAAGCGAGAGCGAGUCUGAAUGGGGCGUUUAGUUUCAUGCGUAUGACCCGAAACCAGGUGACCUAUCCAUGUCCAGGUUGAAGUGACGGUAACACGUCAUGGAGGACCGAACCCACUCCCGUUGAAAUGGUAGGGGAUGAGAUGUGGAUAGCGGAGAAAUUCCAAUCGAACUUGGAUAUAGCUGGUUCUCCCCGAAAUAGCUUUAGGGCUAGCGUUGCCAUAAAGAUUACCGGAGGUAAAGCACUGAAUAGUCUAGGGGCCGAGAGGCUACCGAAACUUAUCAAACUCUGAAUGCCGGAUAAUCAUGGGCAGCAGUCAGACUGUGUGAGAUAAGUCUCAUAGUCAAAAGGGAAAGAGCCCAGACCCACAGCUAAGGUCCCAAAGUACAUUUAAGUGGAAAAGGAUGUAGGAUUGCGAAAACAACCAGGAUGUUGGCUUAGAAGCAGCCACACAUUUAAAGAGUGCGUAAUAGCUCACUGGUCGAGUGGUCCUGCGCCGAAAAUUUAACGGGGCUAAAAUGUACACCGAAGCUUGGGCUUGAUACGUAAGUAUCAGGGGUAGGGGAGCGUCGUAUACGGAGAGAAGUCAUAGCGGAAGCGGUGGUGGACUGUAUACGAGUGAGAAUGCCGGAAUGAGUAGCGAGAAUUAUGUGAGAAUCAUAAUGGCCGAAAGCCUAAGGUUUUAGGAGGAAGGUUCGUCCGCUCCUAGUAAGCCGGGAGCUAAGGUGAGGCCGAAAGGCGUAGCCGAUGCACAUACGGUUGAUAUUCCGUAGCCUCCAAAAGAUUUAAGCAAAGGGACACUUUAGAAGGGUGUAAGCCGGGCGUUGGUAGACCCGGUCGUAAGGGACUGAAAUUAGAGUAAGGAAGUACACUUGGAUGAAGGCGAGAAAAGCUUUGUGGAUAUCUUCGGAGCCCGUACCGCAAACCGACACAGGUAGGUAGGAAGAGGAUUCUAAGGCCAACGGGAGAAGGGUUGUUAAGGAACUCGGCAAGUUGACCCCGUAACUUAGGGAUAAGGGGUGCUCUAGCAAUAGAGCCGCAGAGAAUAGGCCCGGGCGACUGUUUAUCAAAAACACAGGUCUCUGCUAAAUCGAAAGAUGACGUAUAGGGGCUGACACCUGCCCAGUGCUGGAAGGUUAAGAGGAGGAGUGAGAGCUCUGAAUUGAAGCCCCAGUGAACGGCGGCCGUAACUAUAACGGUCCUAAGGUAGCGAAAUUCCUUGUCAGGUAAGUUCUGACCCGCACGAAUGGUGUAACGAUCUGGGCACUGUCUCAACAAUCCACCCGGCGAAAUUGUAGUACCGGUGAAGAUGCCGGUUACCCGCGACUAGACGGAAAGACCCCAUGGAGCUUUACUGUAGCCUAAUAUUGGAUUUUGGUAUUUCAUGUACAGGAUAGGUGGGAGGCUAGGAAGCAAAGGCGUCAGCUUUUGUGGAGCCAUCGUUGGGAUACCACUCUUGGAGUGCUGAAAUUCUAACCUGCGGCCAUGAAUCUGGUCGGGGGACAUUGUUAGGUGGGCAGUUUGACUGGGGCGGUCGCCUCCUAAAAGGUAACGGAGGCGCUCAAAGGUUCGCUCAGUACGGACGGAAACCGUGCAUUAGAGUGUAAACGCAUAAGCGAGCCUAACUGCGAGACUGACAAGUCGAGCAGUAACGAAAGUUGGAGUUAGUGAUCCGGCGGUAUGUGAGUGGAAAUGCCGUCGCUCAACGGAUAAAAGCUACCCUGGGGAUAACAGGCUGAUCUCCCCCAAGAGUCCACAUCGACGGGGAGGUUUGGCACCUCGAUGUCGGCUCAUCGCAUCCUGGGGCUGGAUUCGGUCCCAAGGGUUUGGCUGUUCGCCAAUUAAAGCGGUACGCGAGCUGGGUUCAGAACGUCGUGAGACAGUUCGGUCCCUAUCUGUCGUGGGCGUAGGAUAUUUGAAAGGAGCUGUCCCUAGUACGAGAGGACCGGGAUGGACGCACCUCUGGUGUACCUGUUGUCAUGCCAAUGGCACGGCAGGGCAGCUAUGUGCGGAUCGGAUAAACGCUGAAGGCAUCUAAGCGUGAAGCCGUCCUUAAGAUAAGAUAUCCCACUGGGUUAACCAGGUAAGACCCCUUGUAGACUACGAGGUUGAUAGGCUCAAAGUGUAAGCGUCGUGAGGCGUUAAGCUAGCGAGUACUAAUCGGUCGAGGGCUUGACCAA
rnacentral:rRNA from 1 species